rnacentral:rRNA from 1 species
CCUACGGGAGGCAGCAGUGGGGAAUAUUGGACAAUGGGCGAAAGCCUGAUCCAGCAAUGCCGCGUGAGUGAUGAAGGCCUUAGGGUUGUAAAGCUCUUUUACCCGGGAUGAUAAUGACAGUACCGGGAGAAUAAGCUCCGGCUAACUCCGUGCCAGCAGCCGCGGUAAUACGGAGGGAGCUAGCGUUAUUCGGAAUUACUGGGCGUAAAGCGCACGUAGGCGGCUUUGUAAGUAAGAGGUGAAAGCCUGGUGCUCAACACCAGAACUGCCUUUUAGACUGCAUCGCUUGAAUCCAGGAGAGGUGAGUGGAAUUCCGAGUGUAGAGGUGAAAUUCGUAGAUAUUCGGAAGAACACCAGUGGCGAAGGCGGCUCACUGGACUGGUAUUGACGCUGGGGUGCGAAAGCGUGGGGAGCGAACAGGAUUAGAUACCCUGGUAGUCCACGCCGUAAACGAUGAUAACUAGCUGUCGGGGCUCUUAGAGCUUCGGUGGCGCAGCUAACGCAUUAAGUUAUCCGCCUGGGGAUACGGCCGCAAGGUUAAACCUUAAAUGAAUUGACGG